GACCAUUCUGGUGGCCUAGUGGUUAGAGCAUUUGCCUUGGAUGCAGGAGUUCAUGGGUUCAAACUCCAGUCAAGUCA